AGUUGGUUGCAAUCAUGUAGAAAGGGCAUCACAAAAAAGCCCAAACAUUUCUGGCAAAGGUUUACAUGUAUGGAAGAUCUCCUUGUAGCAGUUGUUAAUGUCUAGAAUGUACUGUAUAUGAUCCUUUUCUAGUGCUCAAAUGUGAUACCCAUCAUGUCCUAUGUAAGCUAUGUAAACAUGAAUGUGCUAUGUAAACAUGAAUGUGAAGUUGUAUUUGUCAAAGUUGAAUCUGGAUGUGAUGUAUCUGCCUUGUCUAGUGAAUUUCGAAUUUAUUA